rnacentral:lncRNA from 1 species
UGUAAAGAGAAGAGAUACUGUAAUUAAGUGGCCAUUAUAAUUACUGUGGUUCCCAAAAGCCUAUGUCACCAAGACAAGAUAAAAUUAGGGAAGCUUCUUAGAACCCCAAAUGGUGUUGAACUAACACUAUGUUCCAGGCUCAUAAAGAUGUGGGCAUUUUUCUUUCUUUAGGGACUUGAAGAGGGGAAAAAAAACGUCAGAUUAUAAAAUUUCUGGAUUCCUCAGGCAUAAAUUCUCAUGAAAUUGAAUGCAAGAAACUGUCUGGUCAUGCUGGAGGACUGAAGGUAACUUCAACAAUUUGUUUCUCGAAUUCACCCCACCUUCCUUCUGCUGAGGAAAACAGUGACCUGCCUUCCAAAGAGUGUCAAAAUAAAGAGCUGGGAAACUUUCCCAAGGACGUUGUGUUCUCCCAGGUGACGGUGUCUGAGCUAAGCAGUUGCAGGGAUUUACUGAGUUUUUUUCUGGCACCAGGUGGCCUUUUCUUCUCCUGAGCUCUGCAGGUCCUUCCCAGUCGUCCUCUUGUCAUCAGAACAAGGGCUGGGCAGCAGGUGGGAAAGGUUUUGUUUGUCCAACUGCCUUUAUUUUACAGAUCUUUCUAAUAUUCUUAUUCUGUACUAGAAUAUUUCAAUAUUGCUAAAGCCUCUAUUUUUUGGCAGGCUGCCUUUUUGGCUUUUGUCGUGUUUGUUGCUAAUUCAUUCUCUGGUUUCUCAAUUUAACUCUUCAGUCACUUCUCGUCUUUCCCAUCCUGCCUCAGCAAGGGCAAGUGAAACCCUUUGGCUUAAUUAGGAGCAGAACUGAUUAUUUAACUUAGUUUCAAUGGGUAAAAUAAACACAGUUUGGGUCCUCA